AAUAGGUUUACACUCCUAGCAGUCAAACUGGAACAGCAUACAAUAAAUCCCCCCAAGAACGAGACAAGGCUCUGUUUUGAGGGUCAAGCAGUGAACAGCCAGAGCUGUGGGUUUAUUGUUCUUAUGUACACAUUCUUACACACUAGUACCACCCACAGGGUUUUGGAAAAUAACCAAUAAACACGUACAAUACACUCAGACACUCCCACACAAAAU